rnacentral:rRNA from 1 species
UACGUAGGGUGCAAGCGUUGUCCGGAAUUAUUGGGCGUAAAGAGCUCGUAGGCGGUCUGUUGCGUCGACUGUGAAAACCCGCGGCUUAACCGCGGGCCUGCAGUUGAUACGGGCAGGCUAGAGUUCGGUAGGGGAGACUGGAAUUCCUGGUGUAGCGGUGAAAUGCGCAGAUAUCAGGAGGAACACCAGUGGCGAAGGCGGCUCACUGGCCCGAUACUGACGCUGAGGCACGAAAGCGUGGGGAGCAAACAGG